UUCUCUCUCUUUGUGAUCCUCCCCUUUUCUCUCUGAACCCUUUUAUUAACCACAAAUUUGUUUUAAGCUUUGAAGCUCUGAAUCCAUAACCCAUGGCUAAUCGAGAAAGGUGAAGGAUGGGACACAAACCCUAACGCAAAAACACGAAACCGCACUGAUUCCAUCACCAACUUCGAAAGCGAAACCGUUGCAAGUUGGAAAGGGCUUAUUAUGAUGGACUGCUCAAUGGCCUCCGUAAACACGCAUUAACACCGCGUGACUCUAACCAAACUGUUAGAAAAUUUAUAGGCUGAAAAGUUUUUGUCAGGAAAAUUAUACCCUGUCCAUCUACUAAUCCGGGUUGCAUAUCUAUAAAUCCAAAGUCAUUGUCUCCAUACAAAUCCUGUGUUUUUGGGACCAAGAACAGUCAAUUCUUGCAGGGAGUAGCUGUCUUUGUAAAAAUCUGAUAAAAUGAAAGUGAUUCAAUGGGUAGCAAGAACGAAGUUGGUCAGAAAAUGGACAAAGAGUUAUACCAAUCUACUCGCACCUGGCAGAAAAAGAGUUAAAAGCGGACAACUCAAAGUUGGGAAGGGUUGCUCUUUCAGCUGCAAUCAUUAACGAUGUUCUGUCAUGGAUGCUUUUGGCUAUAGCUAUUGCUUUGACAGUAUAUGGAA